GAUACUAUAUACAAUUGUUAUACAGUAUCGACAGCGGUAGUUGCUUGACCGAGAUAUAUAUACGUACAUACAUACCGAUAUUGGAAAUAUAUAUUGAAAUAAUAUUAAAAACGAAACUGGAAACUAUGACGGAUUAUAGAAAUAUUAUUUGUUUCAGACAUUUGAAAUUCUUUUCUAUUUAUUUUGGAUGUGACGAAAGGAACUGAAUAAGAUAUUUAAGUUCUCUAACACGGUUCACGCAGAUGAGCCUACGCAAGCAAAUGAAGCAACUACUAAAGCUAUUUCUAUAAAAGAAGCAGGAAAUAAGGAAACAGAAAAAAAUGGUACAUCAGCAAUGGGUUUGUCUAUUAAAAUGAAGCUUCUUAGCUUCGGAGCAUAUUAUAUAACCAAGAAUUUAAUUGUCAAUUAAUGUAAUUGAUCAAAAUUAUAAGUAAUAUUCGACUGUUAUAGUAUGCUAACUAUGUAAUAUACAGCAUUAGAAUCUUUUAUUUAACAUUUGAGUUGCUUGAAUUUAUUUUGUUAAUCCGUGCACAAACGACUGAAUAUUUUACUCGAAGAAAACUAUUUCUUUUUAAAUCUCGCAAAGAAUUGUAAUUAAAAAGUAUUAUAUUACGUCUAUAUAUC